AUAAAGUUUUAUUUUAGCUUAAUAUAUUAAUUAAUAAAAUUUUUAUAUAUAAAUUUUUUUGUUUUAUAUUUUUUUAUUUUAAUAGUAAAAAUUUUUAGAAUUAUUUGUAGUUUAUAAAUUUUAUUUUUUUUUAAGAAAUUAAGAAUAAGUUAUUUAUUUUAGUAUUAACAAAAUUUGUGCCAGCAGUUGCGGUUAUACAAAUAAUACAAUUAAUAUUUAUUGGUUAAUAAUUAAUUAUUAUUAUUAUUUAGCUAAAUUUAAAUUUAUUAAGUGAAAUUUUAAAUUUGAUUUAUUUAAAAAAAAAUGUUAUGAAAUUAUUAAAAUUUUGUUAUAAACUAGGAUUAGAUACCCUAUUAUAAAAAUUGUAAAUUUUAAAUAUUUGAUUAGUAUUAGUUAUUUUCUUGAAAAUUAAAAAUUUUGGCGGUAUUUUAGUCUUUUCAGAGGAACCUGUUCUAUAAUCGAUAGUCCACGAUUAAAUGUACUUAUUUUAUUAGUUUAUAUAUCAUCGUAGGUCGAAUAUUUUUUUAGAAUUUUAAUAUUCAAGAUUUAUAAUAAUGAAAAAAAUCAGAUCAAGGUAUAGCUUAUAUAUAAGAAGAAAUGGGUUACAAUAAAUUUAUUUAAAUGGAUUUAAAAUUGUGAAAUUUUUAUGAAAUUGGAUUUGAAAGUAAUAUAAUUAAUUUAAAUUAUAUGAUUAAAGCUCUAAAAUAUGCACAUAUCGCCCGUCGCUUUCAUAUAAAAUGAGAUAAGUCGUAACAAAGUAGGUGUACUGGAAAGUGUAUCUAGAAAGA
rnacentral:ncRNA from 1 species